UGAGAGAUGCCAUUCUAUGUAGAU
rnacentral:piRNA from 1 species